rnacentral:rRNA from 1 species
GACGAACGCUGGCGGCGUGCUUAACACAUGCAAGUCGAACGGAAAGGCCCUGCUUUUGUGGGGUGCUCGAGUGGCGAACGGGUGUGUAACACGUGAGUAACCUGCCCUUGACUUUGGGAUAACUUCAGGCAACUGGGGCUAAUACCGGAUAGGAGCUCCUGCUGCAUGGUGGGGGUUGGAAAGUUUCGGCGGUUGGGGAUGGACUCGCGGCUUAUCAGCUUGUUUGUGGGGUAGUGGCUUACCACGGCUUUGACGGGUAGCCGGCCUGAGAGGGUGACCGGCCACAAGGGGACUGAGAUACGGCGCAGACGGCUACGGGAGGCAACAGUGGGGAAUAUGGCACAAUGGGCGGAAGCCAGAUGCAGCAACGCCGCGUGCGGGAUGACGGCCUUCGGGUUGUAAACCGCUGUCGCCUGUGACGAAGCGUGAGUGACGGUAAUGGGUAAAGAAGCACCGGCUAACUACGUG